rnacentral:pre_miRNA from 1 species
AAUAACCUUAUUUUUCGUUUUUCCGUGUCUAACAUUUGAUUAUUCGUCUUAUUUAAAAAAUUUAUAAAAAACUAAAAAAAUUAGUCACGUAUAAAGUACUAUUUAUAUUUUAUCAUCCAGUAAGAAUAAAAAUAUUAAUCGUAAAAAAAUUUCAAAUAAGACAAAUGGUCAAACGUUGGACACGGAAAAAC